GUCGAGCGAAUGGAUUAAGAGCUUGCUCUUAUGAAGUUAGCGGCGGACGGGUGAGUAACACGUGGGUAACCUGCCCAUAAGACUGGGAUAACUCCGGGAAACCGGGGCUAAUACCGGAUAACAUUUUGAACCGCAUGGUUCGAAAUUGAAAGGCGGCUUCGGCUGUCACUUAUGGAUGGACCCGCGUCGCAUUAGCUAGUUGGUGAGGUAACGGCUCACCAAGGCAACGAUGCGUACCCGACCUGAGAGGGUGAUCGGCCACACUGGGACUGAGACACGGCCCAGACUCCUACGGGAGGCAGCAGUAGGGAAUCUUCCGCAAUGGACGAAAGUCUGACGGAGCAACGCCGCGUGAGUGAUGAAGGCUUUCGGGUCGUAAAACUCUGUUGUUAGGGAAGAACAAGUGCUAGUUGAAUAAGCUGGCACCUUGACGGUACCUAACCAGAAAGCCACGGCUAACUACGUGCCACCAGCCGCGGUAAUACGUAGGUGGCAAGCGUUAUCCGGAAUUAUUGGGCGUAAAGCGCGCGCAGGUGGUUUCUUAAGUCUGAUGUGAAAGCCCACGGCUCAACCGUGGAGGGUCAUUGGAAACUGGGAGACUUGAGUGCAAAAUAGGAAAGUGGAAUUCCAUGUGUAAGCGGAGAAAUGCAUA
rnacentral:rRNA from 1 species